rnacentral:rRNA from 1 species
GCAGGCUGAAACCCGCCUGCGUGAAGUUGGAAUCGCUAGUAAUCGCGGAUCAGCAUGCCGCGGUGAAUACGUUCCCGGGCCUUGUACACACCGCCCGUCACACCAUGAGAGUCGGGAACACCCGAAGUCCGUAGUCUAACCGCAAGGGGGGCGCGGCCGAAGGUGGGUUCGAUAAUUGGGGUGAAGUCGUAACAAGGUACC